UUUUAUUCACAAAUAAGUAUUAUAAAGCUGAAUAUUAAAAACAAUAGUUCUAAACUCAAAAAAUUUGGCGGUACUUUAAUAAGUCAGGGGAACUUGCAUAUUAAAUUGAUAACCCACGACACCCUUACCUUUAUUUGAAACUCAGUUAGUGUAUUGCCGUAUUAAUAUAAAUUCAUAAUUAUAUAUGUAUAAAAUAAAUUAAUUUAAAAUAACAGGUCAAAAUUCAGCCUACAUAAAGGGGUUUUGUGAGUUACAAUAUUAACAUAUAUGUGAAUUAAUUAAUUUAAAUUAUUAUGAAAUUGGACUUGAUAGUAAUCAUGUAUAGUGAUGAAUUAAAACUUAAAGUGUGU
rnacentral:rRNA from 1 species